rfam:Caenorhabditis briggsae complete genome, chrX
UGCCAUCCGCAGUUUUUUGUAGUGUGCUCCGCGCCAUCUUAGUGCCCGAAGCACCACGAGAAGCUGCAGAUGGAA